ACGUUCAUACAUAGACAUACACUUAAAACACAAGAUAUAUUUGUGAUGUAUAGUAAAUAGGGAGAUUGGUAUUAAGGUAGAAUGAAGGUGGCUAGCUCGAAUUACUAACCAAAGGGGACAAAUUUGAAUUAAUAGAAUAAGGACUGUUAAAGUUGCAAAUGUGACAGAAAAAGGUAAUAUGGAAAAU